UAAUUGAUGUUAACUAUGAUGUUUUUUUUUGUGACUUUAAUAAUUUUAGGUGAAAUUAGAAUUAUUUGUAAGUGAUUUUUCAUAGUUUUAAAUUUUGAUGAACGAAUUAGAUUAGUACCUAAUUAGACAAAAAUUAAAAGAGCAGGAGUAAAGUUGUAUUUAAACUGUAAGGAUAUUGGCAGACUUUCUAAAUUAUCUUUGGAGGUUGAGUGAUAAUUGAGAACCCUCAUUAACUACUUAGUCUGUUGGUUCAUGUAUGAUCGUUUAGUAUAUUCUUGAAGAUUAUAGUUAAAGAUUUUUAUCUAUUAAAACAGAUAUAUACCUGGCAUAUGAUUUAAGUAAUAUUUGACCUACAAUACUUUUUAGUGUGGAUAGUUAAAGUAGUUUUUAAUUUGAAAAUGUAAAAGACAGUAAAGAAUUCUUUAUGUAUUCUUGAAGAUUAUCUAGAAGUGGUACAAAUCAU
rnacentral:rRNA from 1 species